UUGACAGCGUGCGAUGGAGGGGAACUUCGUGCGUGCUGGGAAUCUGCUUUUGGUUUUCUCCCUCACGGCUGGAACAUUUAUUCUGGAAGGUGAAAAACGUAGCCGGGUGUGCAUUAAAUGCCCGAACCUUUCCGUGGCUUUUAAGGAGACGUUGAGAAAGAGGUAAUCCCAUUUGCAAAGUUGUGCAGGUUGCACGUUCGUUGUUGGAAAAUGAAGGCCCACAACCAGUAGCAUGGCAGAUGAACACAACCUAAUGGGUGCCAGGAGAUAGGAGCCUGGCUCAAAACUGGACACCAGACAUUCUCUCGUUAUCUUCCACUUGACAACGACUGCAGGAUUUCUAAGUAAAGCAGAUGCAGGUCCUACUCUGAUUCUGGCAAGAGCUCCUAAAAGAGGUGCUUCCAACACCUCACAGAGUACAGGUGUUCUUGGCUGUUGCAGAGGAGACAUGGGAGAUGUAGGACUAGCCAAGCAAGUCUUUGAUGGUGAAUUGACAGGCCCACUCUGCGAACGAAGAUUCGGAUUCUUGUGAGUCUUCUGGUCAUCAGCAACAUGGCGAAGACCUACAGAAUAAAUAUUCAUAUUUUAA